rnacentral:tRNA from 1 species
GUAGUCGAGUGGUAAGGACACUUGCCUCUCACCCUGAAGUCUCGGGUUCGAUUCCCGGUCCG